UCCGAAGGGGGCUAGCGUUGCUCGGAAUUACUGGGCGUAAAGGGAGCGUAGGCGGACUGUUAAGUUAGAGGUGAAAGCCCAGGGCUCAACCUUGGAAUUGCCUUUGAUACUGGCAGUCUUGAGUACGGAAGAGGUAUGUGGAACUCCGAGUGUAGAGGUGAAAUUCGUAGAUAUUCGGAAGAACACCAGUGGCGAAGGCGACAUACUGGUCCGUUACUGACGCUGAGGCUCGAAAGCGUGGGGAGCAAACAGG
rnacentral:rRNA from 1 species